GUUGCCACUAUAUGCUGCUAGGUGUCACUGGUGGAUGGUGAGACUCAUAGGGACCAUCUUGAUGGUCGAUGAUCCCUGGUGAGUUGAGUUGGAAUUGUUUCAACCCAUUGAAAGGAGUUUUCAAUGAUAUUGUGAUAGAGAUCGCAAUAUAUCUCACUACCAGUCAGAAUAGAACCUAUGUGGUCACACACAUUAGAGGUAUUGACCG
rnacentral:lncRNA from 1 species